UACGUAGGGGGCUAGCGCUGUCCGGAAUCAUUGGGCGUAAAGAGCGUGUAGGCGGCCCGGUAAGUCCGCUGUAAAAGUCAAAGGCUCAACCUUUGAAUGUCAGUGGAUACUGCCGGGCUAGAGUCCGGAAGAGGCGAGUGGAACUCCUGGUGUAGCGGUGAAAUGCGCAGAUAUCAGGAGGAACACCGAUGGCGAAGGCAGCUCGCUGGGACGGUAACUGACGCUGAGGCGCGAAGACGUGGGGAGCGAACAGG
rnacentral:rRNA from 1 species